rnacentral:rRNA from 1 species
CACGUAGGGCGCAAGCGUUGUCCGGAAUUAUUGGGCGUAAAGCGCUCGUAGGCGGCCUGUUGCGUCCGCUGUGAAAACCCGGGGCUUAACCCUGGGCUGGCAGUGGAUACGGACAGACUAGAGGUAGGUAGGGGAGAAUGGAAUUCCCGGUGUAGCGGUGAAAUGCGCAGAUAUCGGGAGGAACACCGGUGGCGAAGGCGGUUCUCUGGGCCUUACCUGACGCUGAGGAGCGAAAGCGUGGGGAGCGAACAGG